rnacentral:rRNA from 1 species
AUUGAACGCUGGCGGCAUGCCUUACACAUGCAAGUCGAACGGUAACAGGUCUUCGGAUGCUGACGAGUGGCGAACGGGGGAGUAAUACAUCGGAACGUGCCCGAGAGUGGGGGAUAACGAGGCGAAAGCUUUGCUAAUACCGCAUACGAUCUCAGGAUGAAAGCAGGGGACCGCAAGGCCUUGCGCUCACGGAGCGGCCGGUGGCAGAUUAGGUAGUUGGUGGGAUAAAAGCUUACCAAGCCGACGAUCUGUAGCUGGUCUGAGAGGACGACCAGCCACACUGGGACUGAGACACGGCCCAGACUCCUACGGGAGGCAGCAGUGGGGAAUUUUGGACAAUGGGCGCAAGCCUGAUCCAGCCAUGCCGCGUGCAGGAUGAAGGCCUUCGGGUUGUAAACUGCUUUUGUACGGAACGAAAAGACUCUGGUUAAUACCUGGGGUCCAUGACGGUACCGUAAGAAUAAGCACCGGCUAACUACGUGCCAGCCGCCGCAGUAACAC